UACGGAGGGUGCAAGCGUUAAUCGGAAUUACUGGGCGUAAAGCGCACGCAGGCGGUCUGUCAAGUCGGAUGUGAAAUCCCCGGGCUCAACCUGGGAACUGCAUUCGAAACUGGCAGGCUAGAGUCUUGUAGAGGGGGGUAGAAGUCCAGGUGGAGCGGUGAAAUGCGUAGCGAGCUGGAGGAAUACCGGUGGCGAAGGCGGCCCCCUGGACAAAGACUUACGCUCAGUUGCGAAAGCGUGGUUAGCAAACAGUAUUAGAUACCCCCGUAGUCC
rnacentral:rRNA from 1 species